rnacentral:piRNA from 1 species
UGGGUCAGUCUAUGACAAGCUUGCUCCUGG